rnacentral:rRNA from 1 species
UACGUAGGGGGCUAGCGUUGUCCGGAAUCAUUGGGCGUAAAGAGCGUGUAGGCGGCCCGGUAAGUCCGCUGUGAAAGGCGGGGGCUCAACCCUCGAAUGCCGGUGGAUACUGUCGGGCUAGAGUGCGGAAGAGGCGAGUGGAAUUCCUGGUGUAGCGGUGAAAUGCGCAGAUAUCAGGAGGAACACCAAUUGCGAAGGCAGCUCGCUGGGACGUAACUGACGCUGAGACGCGAAAGCGUGGGGAGCAAACAGG